rnacentral:rRNA from 1 species
AGUGAACGCUGGCGGUAGGCCUAACACAUGCAAGUCGAACGGCAGCACAGCAAGAGCUUGCUCUUACGGGUGGCGAGUGGCGGACGGGUGAGGAAUACAUCGGAAUCUACUUUUUCGUGGGGGAUAACGUAGGGAAACUUACGCUAAUACCGCAUACGACCUACGGGUGAAAGCAGGGGAUCUUCGGACCUUGCGCGAUUGAAUGAGCCGAUGUCGGAUUAGCUAGUUGGCGGGGUAAAGGCCCACCAAGGCGACGAUCCGUAGCUGGUCUGAGAGGAUGAUCAGCCGCACUGGAACUGAGACACGGUCCAGACUCCUACGGGAGGCAGCAGUGGGGAAUAUUGGACAAUGGGCGCAAGCCUGAUCCAGCCAUACCGCGUGGGUGAAGAAGGCCUUCGGGUUGUAAAGCCCUUUUGUUGGGAAAGAAAAGCAGCAGGUUAAUACCCCGCUGUUCUGACGGUACCCAAAGAAUAAGCACCGGCUAACUUCGUG